rnacentral:rRNA from 1 species
AUUAGCGGAUGACCUGUGGCUGGGGGUGAAAGGCCAAUCAAACCGGGAGAUAGCUGGUUCUCCCCGAAAGCUAUUUAGGUAGCGCCUCGUGAAUUCAUCUCCGGGGGUAGAGCACUGUUUCGGCUAGGGGGCCAUCCCGGCUUACCAACCCGAUGCAAACUGCGAAUACCGGAGAAUGUUAUCACGGGAGACACACGGCGGGUGCUAACGUCCGUCGUGAAGAGGGAAACAACCCAGACCGCCAGCUAAGGUCCCAAAGUCAUGGUUAAGUGGGAAACGAUGUGGGAAGGCCCAGACAGCCAGGAUGUUGGCUUAGAAGCAGCCAUCAUUUAAAGAAAGCGUAAUAGCUCACUGGUCGAGUCGGCCUGCGCGGAAGAUGUAACGGGGCUAAACCAUGCACCGAAGCUGCGGCAGCGACGCUGAUGCGUUGUUGGGUAGGGGAGCGUUCUGUAAGCCUGCGAAGGUGGCCUGUGAGGGUUGCUGGAGGUAUCAGAAGUGCGAAUGCUGACAUAAGUAACGAUAAAGCGGGUGAAAAGCCCGCUCGCCGGAAGACCAAGGGUUCCUGUCCAACGUUAAUCGGGGCAGGGUGAGUCGACCCCUAAGGCGAGGCCGAAAGGCGUAGUCGAUGGGAAACGGGUUAAUAUUCCCGUACUUGGUGUUACUGCGAAGGGGGGACGGAGAAGGCUAUGUUGGCCGGGCGACGGUUGUCCCGGUUUAAGCGUGUAGGUGUGUGUUCCAGGUAAAUCCGGUUCACUUUAACACUGAGGCGUGAUGACGAGGCACUACGGUGCUGAAGCAACAAAUGCCCUGCUUCCAGGAAAAGCCUCUAAGCAUCAGGUAACAUCAAAUCGUACCCCAAACCGACACAGGUGGUCAGGUAGAGAAUACCAAGGCGCUUGAGAGAACUCGGGUGAAGGAACUAGGCAAAAUGGUGCCGUAACUUCGGGAGAAGGCACGCUGACACGUAGGUGAAGUGAUUUACUCAUGGAGCUGAAGUCAGUCGAAGAUACCAGCUGGCUGCAACUGUUUAUUAAAAACACAGCACUGUGCAAACACGAAAGUGGACGUAUACGGUGUGACGCCUGCCCGGUGCCGGAAGGUUAAUUGAUGGGGUCAGCGCAAGCGAAGCUCCUGAUCGAAGCCCCGGUAAACGGCGGCCGUAACUAUAACGGUCCUAAGGUAGCGAAAUUCCUUGUCGGGUAAGUUCCGACCUGCACGAAUGGCGUAAUGAUGGCCAGGCUGUCUCCACCCGAGACUCAGUGAAAUUGAACUCGCUGUGAAGAUGCAGUGUACCCGCGGCAAGACGGAAAGACCCCGUGAACCUUUACUAUAGCUUGACACUGAACAUUGAGCCUUGAUGUGUAGGAUAGGUGGGAGGCUUUGAAGUGUGGACGCCAGUCUGCAUGGAGCCGACCUUGAAAUACCACCCUUUAAUGUUU